rnacentral:rRNA from 1 species
CCCUUAGAUGUCCUGGGCUGCACGCGCGCUACACUGAAAGUUACGGAUUGACUUUUUACCUUGUCCGAAAUGGUCCGGGUAAUCACCUAAAAGCUUGUCAUAAUUGGAAUGGAUUAUUGUAACUAGUAAUCCUGAACGAGGAAUUCCUAGUAAGUCCCAGUCAACAGCUGGUACUGAUUACGUCCCUGCCCUUUGUACACACCGCCCGUCGCUACUACCGAUUGAAUGGUUUAGUGAGGCCUUCGGAUCCGCGACUCGUUUGUGGAGAAGUUGGACAAACUCAGUCAUUUAGAGGAAGUAAAAGUCGUAACA